rnacentral:rRNA from 1 species
GGUGAACGCUGGCGGCGUGCCUAAUACAUGCAAGUCGAGCGAACAGACGAGGAGCUUGCUCCUCUGACGUUAGCGGCGGACGGGUGAGUAACACGUGGAUAACCUACCUAUAAGACUGGGAUAACUUCGGGAAACCGGAGCUAAUACCGGAUAAUAUAUUGAACCGCAUGGUUCAAUAGUGGAAGACGGUUUUGCUGUCACUUAUAGAUGGAUCCGCGCCGCAUUAGCUAGUUGGUAAGGUAACGGCUUACCAAGGCAACGAUGCGUAGCCGACCUGAGAGGGUGAUCGGCCACACUGGAACUGAGACACGGUCCAGACUCCUACGGGAGGCAGCAGUAGGGAAUCUUCCGCAAUGGGCGAAAGCCUGACGGAGCAACGCCGCGUGAGUGAUGAAGGUCUUCGGAUCGUAAAACUCUGUUAUUAGGGAAGAACAAAUGUGUAAGUAACUAUGCACGUCUUGACGGUACCUAAUCAGAAAGCCACGGCUAACUACGUG